rnacentral:rRNA from 1 species
UACAGAGGGUGCGAGCGUUAAUCGGAAUUACUGGGCGUAAAGCGCGCGUAGGCGGCUUUGCAAGCCGGAUGUGAAAUCCCCGGGCUUAACCUGGGAACUGCAUUCGGGACUGCAUUGCUAGAGUAUGGGAGAGGGAAGUGGAAUUUCAGGUGUAGCGGUGAAAUGCGUAGAUAUCUGGAGGAACACCGGUGGCGAAGGCGGCGUCCUGGACCAACACUGACACUGAGGAGCGAAAGCCAGGGGAGCAAACGGG